ensembl:snRNA U6 U6 spliceosomal RNA
GCUGGGCAUAUACUAAAAUUGGAAGGAUACAGAGAAGAUUAGCAUGGCCCCUGAGCAAGGAUGACAUGCAAAUUUGUGAAGCAUGCCGUAUUUUU